rnacentral:lncRNA from 1 species
CCUCAGUCUUUUACAAAUUAAGUGGCCUCCUCACCUGAGACGAGUAGAACUGUAUGCACAGUAAGGCACCAGGACGGAUCUAGACUGGCAAAGAAGUGGUGAGAGAAAUGGGGAAAGGGUUAGGGAAGAAGGGAGAGGACUCUCAACUACAGUCAUAGUGAGACCUUGAGUGCCUCUGCGUUAGUCCUUCCUCUUCCUCUACUCCUUGUGUCUCAGCUGAAGGGCAAACUUCAGGGACAAUCUCAUUUUGUUUCUACCACUGUUCAGGGUCCCACCUUGCGACCCUCUCCUGAGAGGUUGUCCACAACUCUGUCCCACCCCCGUUCUCCAUCUUCUUCCGCCAGAUCUGGGGCUGGGGCAUUGGAGAGGGGAAAGAGGAAACGUCGUGGCUGGCAGGGUAGGAAGGGAUGCGUGUCCAGGUGAGAAAGAGGUGUGACGUGCAGAUGGGAUGCCCGCCGCUAUGACGCUGCCGAGACCCGCGGUGACUGCGUCAGAGUUUCACCCGGGGAGAGCUCCCUCUUUGCCCACUAGCAGGGCAUUAGCUGGUGCUGAAGACAGUGGCUGCUUGGCGAGCCUGGAUCUCCAAGUGACCCCCUCAGCAACUCCUGAUGAACAGGACUGAAGCCAAUAUUAAAGCAAGUCAACCAAAGGUUCUCUGGUGUAGACAAGACAGCAAAAGGACAGACUACCUUGUGGAACCUAGCAUUGUUCUCCUUCUGCAGCACUAAGUAACAUUUGUUCUCCGUUAAGAUCUUUGCAAACCACACACAAGAAUUGCUGGUCAUCCUGCCAAUAGAUGCUGCUCACAGAACCAAAUUUCCUGUGCUGAAUUGUCACUCAUGGGCUUGAGAGUAGGAGACUGGAGACCAAGGUGGCUAGAAUCCAGUUGGGCCUGAUGUCUCCCUGUUGAAAGGGCUCCUUGUGGAAUGAAUAGCACAUGGCUCCUGUGGUGGAUCUGAUAGUGGCAUAGCACCAAGUGAUGCAGGCCUGCCAGGGGCCACAGACACAGAAGAUGCUCCCGGGGUCCCCCAUGUACUCCAGACACACUGCAGGCCACCUCUCCCAGCAGGUUGCCAGUCAUGGGCCCCAUCAUCAUGACUUCUGUCCAAGGUGUGCUCGGAAAUCUCUUCCUUAACUGUGACUUUCUGACAGGUGGAGGAUGUGGUCAGGAGUGGGAAAAGGAUUCGAGACGGGAAGAGGGAGGGGUUCAGGAUGAAGAGAGAUAAUCUGUGCCACAGAUGCUGGCCCUGCAGUUAGCUCCCACCUAGUCCGUGCACACACAUUCUAAUCCCCUCCCAUUCCUUUACAUGCUGCGGCCAGAGAGGCCUUUCUCAAAGUGGAAGUCUCAUCCUCACUUCUCUGGUUACAGUGCUGGGCCAUGGUAACUUACAAGGCUUAGCAGGAACUGUCUGCGCACUCCCCCUUCCUGCCCACUACCUUGUUUCCCUCCAGUUGCGAGAGAAAACAUUGAUUGAGCAUUAACUAUGUGCCAGGCUUGUCCUAAGUCCUUUGCAUGUAUUCACUCAAACAAUCCUCACAACAUUCCUAUCACAUCUCCCAUUUCACAGUGAGGGUUCUAAAGCACGUAGUGGGUGAGGAACUUGUCCAGGGUCACACAACUAAGUGGGGGUGGAGAAACAUCAAAUCUAGGUGGUCCAGGUGGUGGCCAGAACCCAUCAGCACCUCACUACAGCUGCCUCCAGUUUCUCGCUCUAGGAAAUACUCUUCCCUGUCAACUCCUGUUGUCCUCUGGGCUCAGUUGACAUGUCAUCUCCUUGAGGAGGACAUCCUGAGAUGCUCCCCGACUAGGGUGGGCACCCACUUCCACACUCCAAAUGCCUAUUUGACCUGUGUAUCGCUGCAUCCCCACUGCCUGGCAGAUAGCAGGCCCCUAAUAAAUAUGAUUUGAGCAAAUAAAUAUAGUUCUUCAAAAAAUAGGGAGGACUUCUUGCUUCAGGUAAUGGUAGGCUAGGACAUUUGGACCAACCCUCCUGCAGAAAAUAGCCAUUUAUUUUGAUGCAAUAUAUCUGGCUAUGACUAGAGAUUUCAAAUAUUUGGAGGGCUAUUAUGUGAAGAACUAAACUUACUCUUUGUGACAUAGAGGUCAGAAAUUGGUCGUUUCCAUAGAGUAUGAGAGAGACAGAAUUGUGCUCAUCAUAAGUAUCUUUUUUAAAAGUUAGACUUAAUAAAAUGGGCUGCCUUGGUAGGUGGUGAGUUCUCUGUCACGAAAGAGAUUCAGCCACUUGCUCUGAGAAAGCAUGGAGAAUAUCAACAUUGUAAGGGUCGACCACCUCAUCUCUGAGGCCCCCUCCUCACUUAGGUUGCCAUUGCAGGUGGAACACUGGGCUGAGUGUCAAAGAACCUGGGUUCCACAAGCUGUGCGACCAUGGCUGGUUGUUUUGGAUCUCAUUCCUAAUAUCUGUUAGUUAAGCUGACCCGUCAAUACUGACCCACUUCACAGAGUUAUGAAGGGAUUAAAUUAGGUAUUACAUGUAAAUCUGUUUUGUUUGCUUUUUGUUGUUCUUUUUUGUUUUGCUUUUUUCUUUGCAUUAUGAAAUCCCAAGUCAACUUUUUCCAUUCUUUUAUUUUUUUAAAAAUUGACAUCAUCAUUAUAACCACAAAAUAAUUUUUAAAAUGGAAAAAAAAAACUCACCUGCAACCCCACAAUCUAAUACAAUAAUCAUACUUUUUUCCCUUUAUUCUCCUUUAUUGUGACCAAGGAUGACUUUGGGCAUUGCUGUGAGGAACUAUUUCGUUUAACACCCUACUACCUGAACAUGAUGCGUACUCAGCCUUUCACCACCCCCCAAGUAGCUACACAUGAUGUGAUAAUAGUAUUGGUGGUGGUUUUAGAGAGUUGGAGAGAAAACUGAAGUUGGAUUUGGGUAAAAGAAAAAAGAGUGGGAAUUAUUUUUUCUCCAUUCUAAAGCCCAUAAAGCAAUGUUAAUUGUUCCCACCCCUCUGCUAUUCUGUCUCCUCAGGUACUGUGUGCAGAAAUGUGAUUGAGAUUCAAGUCAGGGCCUCUCUGCCCUUUUCCCUCCAGAAACAAAACCAAGAUAAUUUAUCCUGAACACGGUGAAAAAAGGAAGGGAGGGAGGAGAAAAAGUCCGGGUCUCACCUGGGAUUCUCUGUCUCCUGCAACAUGAAGGAUUUAGCCUGGGAGGAGGUGGUGAGAACUCUGGGAGAGAAAAAAGAAGGAAAGAAUAGUUUUACCCAUGCUGAAGUUAAUUUAAACCUUCACCUAGAGAAGCAAAAAAAAAAAACCCACACUUUCCCAUUUUGUGCCUCCCUUCCUAGAGUUUUAGCCAAAGGUUUAGCUAAGUAAUUGGUUUUACCAGCGCACUCACUCCUCCUAUCCCAAGUCUGUUUGACUCCCUCCCCAUCAUCCUCCUCACCUCUUUUCAGGCAGGGUGGGGAUAGCAGCAGGAGGAGAUUUUGGGAGCCUGGCAACUCCUGCAAGGACCGCAGGACAGCCCCUCUGUGGGGAUGCGUGGUGCCCCAUCUGCCGCCCUUCUGAAGAAUGCACUGCCUUCACUUUUUACUGUGUUAGAGUCCAUCCAGACUGUUCUAUCCAAAAAAGUUUCUUUUUCCCCCACAGGCAAUCAGGAAAUGAUUCCUUUCCCGACUGCUUCUGUCUAGUGCCUGGGAAUCUUGAGUCAAUCCCUCAGUAAGUCAGUGACUAGGGAAAUCCCUCUCUGAGCCUCCCAGUUCAUGUUGCUUAGGGAACCUGAUAUUUUCGUGAAACCUGCCUACACAUGGGCAGCCCAACAGCAGAACAAAUGGUGGUGACCAAAGUGAACAAAGAAGUAUAGUUGUGCCAGCUUCGUAGUUGCCCAUGUGGACAAGUCAGCAGGAUCAGGACACGAGGAAGAGUAAAUGUGAGACAGUCAAUGUGACUUCUGCGAUAAACAGAUUUUUAAACCCCGAAAUUUUGCAAAAUUUUGGUGAAACCUGAACUUUCUUCGUUGCAUAUACUGGCACUAUCUGUACCAUCAUACAACUGUCUCACAUUAAAGCUAUUUUUCUUGGGCACUGAUGAGUAAGGUUGGUAUAAGUUCCUCAGAUCAACAAAAACCCAUUUUCCUGUAAGUCUUACAUUUAGUAUUUAAGGAACUAAAACUUAAAUACAUUUUGUGAAAUGGUUGACACUUCACUGAUAAUGAUUUAUUGCUUGGAUUAAUAAAUUUUCCAAAAGUUGUCUUAUGUAGAAUAUGGUUUGCAACCAGCAGAACCAUUAAUCUAUACUGCAAUGAUAUGCACUAUGUAUAAUUGUUUAAAAGCCUCUACUUAAUGAUGUAAAAUGCUCUAUUUAAUUACACAUUUGGGUAAACUGUAUACUAACAUCUGAUGGCAUUUUUCCACUGUUUGUUGCUUUUUUCAAAUACUUUAUUGUACAAAGCUGUUCUUAAUAUUUUUCAAGUUUUUUUCUUUGAAUUUUGCUAAUGUUUUCCUUGAAUUAUGAGCACUGACAGAAUGUGCUUAGCACUUUUGGCUAUUCACACAGCUUUUGAGCAUGAUUUGCAUCCAAUAUUUACAUUGCUAGCAAUAAUAAGCCAUCUGUGAGUUUUGUCAAAAGUUAUUGGGGAUUUUUUAAAUUUUAGAAAUGCAAAUUAUUGUUUCUUUGAACUAACUCUUAUGCAGUUGCAAAGGCAUUUCCAGUUGUUAUAGUUUGUGUACAAUAUCAGGUGUUCCAGAUUAUGAUUCAUUAUUAAUAUCAUUGCUUCCUUGUUCCCUCUGAGGUCCAGAAGAUUCAUGUUUACAAUAUUUAGAAACAAUGUUAAAAAGGUAUCCAAAGUUUGUCACUUUAUUAUUAGUUUGUUCUUAAUAUUCUGUUUAAGUUUUUGAAUUCAUAGAUAUCAAAACGCUGCACAAUUAUGAUUUCCACAGGAAUAACAACACACUAACAAUAAGAACCAAAAACAGCAAAUAGGCUGCCUACAAGUUUUGACAAUAUUAGGAUAAUGAUAAUGACAGUUUUUCUAAAUCUCACAGUAAAGAAUGCAGCAACCCAGCAACACUGCUACCUGUGGCCUCAGGCUGCAGUGUCAGCUCUUCCCUGGGUCUCCAGCCUGCCAGUCUAACCUGAAAAUUAUGUACUUGCCAGCCCCCACAGUCACGUGAGUGAACUGGCCCAGGCUGGUCACCAGGGUCAGUUUCUCUGUGUGUCAUUAAUUCAUUCAGUCUUCAGCAGUCUCUUUGGAGCUGAGAUGUACCUACCAUCUGCCUUUUGGGUGCUUAGGGUGGAGAACCAGAAAAGUAUAACCUAGUGUGUAUCCUCAAAGAGCUAACAAUAUGGGGUGGUACCUAUAGGUCUGGAAACACUUUACUGACUCUGUGAGGCAUACCAGGAGACGUCAGAGAACAGUCCCUCCUCAAAUGCCAAAUGAGAUGCAGAAGAAAUAGUUUGCUCAAGUUCAUGGGCCAGAUAUCCCAGUGGUCAGGGAGUUUCAUGAAUGAGAUGGAACUUUGCAUGGAACCCGAGGGAUGUGUAUGAUUUGAGUAGAUGAAGAAAAUGAGACUUUCCAAGCAGCUAGAAGUUAGGGAGCAGCAAGAUGUGUGGUGGGAUUGAGCACAGUUGGUUCAGAGGAUAGACUGCAGUUUUAAUAAUUUGUAGUAAAUAUCUCCCAACUGUUUGGCACUAUUGGAGCAAGUUCUUGAAUGCCAAAUGAAGGCAUAAAUCAGUAAGAGGCAUAAUAAAAGGCUGAGCAGUGCUUGGCUUUUUACGAACUGAUCCUGAUAGGAGCAGCUGUUCAACAAAGUUGCCAGGUCACCGUUACAUAGUCCCUGCCUUCUAGGGGCUCACUGCCUACUGGGAGAGACAGUCUGAAAGUUGGUGGAGCAUGUAACUGUUGGAUGAGGAGUUUGAGCCUGUGGACUGUGGGACCCCCGAGGAGGGUGUGGCUACUCUAGGCAGAACAAUCCCACAGUUUAUUUAUAUUUAACCUUGAAAUUCAUUAGAGGAUUUUUCAGCAGAGGUUUGGUACUUGUUAAUGUUAAGGUUUGCAUUCUCUAGAACCUCAAGGAAAGCUGUACCGUGCAUAAUGUACCCUCUUAUGUUAAUGUUGUGUACUGUGAUCCUGUUUCAGGGACUUGCACUUAGGAAUCUGUUACAGUGAGCACAGAAGCAGACCUGUGGGCUCAUAGUCUUCACCCCCCACCCAUAUAUACAAGAUGAACAGAGUGGAGGUUAAACAACUUGACUAAACAACACAGUUCAUGGUAAAGCCCAAGACUGUACCUGCCCAUCCACUGCCUUUUCCAUGUAUCCUGGAACUGAGCAUAGACCUCUUCCCAGGCAGAGCUGACAGCAAGUAAAGGAGAUCAUAAUCAGGGGACCAAACAACUUUGUCUAAAGUGUGAAUGUCACCUAAGGAGAAGCUGUGAGAUCAGAAGGGUGGGGCAGAGGAGCAGACACCAUGAGGGAGAGUCCUUGGGGGUACAUCUGCCAGACUGACACUGUCUGGCCUGGGCAGUGGAGGGGCUAGCAGGAACCACAGGUACUGGUGGUGUGGCUACUACCGUUACAACUGCCUGUGCUUGGACAUGGACCCUCUGCAAUAUGCGGCAGUUUCAUUCAUUGCCCCCUACAUUCUACACCAAGUAGAAAUGGAAGGCAAUUGGAUACUUCACAGACAAGAUCUAAGUGGAGAAGGAAUGCGUCCUGUGGCUGCAGAGAUCCUUGGAGCUUGGAGGGGAGAGCUUGAGCCCCACUGAUGAUGACCUCCCACAGCUCGCCAACUCAGCCCUCCCUAAGUCCCCAUCGGGGGCCAAUUCUCACUCUGGGGUUGGGGGGACUCCACCAUAGCUCAUCCAUCAUAGGGAUGUUGGUAUCUACUGUGGGUUGGGUAGGGCCGAUGUGCUGAGGAUGGCUCCCCCACAAGCAAGAGAUGUGGAUUUGGGGAGCUUCCCAUCUUGUGUUGAAGGAACAUAACUCAGAAUAAUAAGAGCCAACUAUAACAAACCCACAGCCAACAUCAUACUGAAUGGGCAAAAGCUGCAGGCAUUCCCCUUGAAAAGUGGCACAGGAUAAGGAAGCCCUUUCUCACCACUCCUAUUCAAUAUAGUGUUGAAAGUCCUGAUCACAGCAGUCAGGCAACAGAAAUAAUAAAGGGCAUCCAAAUAGGAAGAGAGGAAGUCAAACUAUCCUUGUUUGCAGACAGUAUGAUUCUAUAUCUAGAAAACCCCAUAGCCUCAGCCCAAAAGGUCCUUCAUCUGAUAAUUUCAGCAAAGUUUCAGGAGACAAAAUCAGUGUACAAAAAUCACUAACAUUCCUAUACACAGUCGCCAAGCCAAGAGCCAAAUCAGGAGCACAAUCCCAUUCAUAAUUGCCACAAAAAAGAAUAAAAUACCCAGGAAUGCAGCUAACCAAGGAAGUAAAGGAUCUCUACAAUGAGAAUCACAAACGCUGCUCAAAGAAAUCAGAGAUGACACAAACAAAUGGAAAAACUUUCCAUGCUCAUGGCUAGGAAGAAUCAAUAUCAUUAAAGUGGCCAUACUACCCAAAGCAAUUUAUAGAUUCAAUGCUAUUCCUAUCAAACUAUCAAUUACAUUUUUCACAGAACUAGAAAAAACUUAAAAUUCAUAUGGAACCAAAAAGCCUGAGUAGUCAAGGCAAUCCUAAACAAAAAGAACAAAGGUGGAGGCAUCACAUUACCUAACUUCAAACUACAGGGCUACCAUGACCAAAACAGCAUGGUACUGGUACAAAAGCAGACACACAGACCAGUGGGACAGAAUAGAGAGCCCAAAAAUAAGGCCACAAACCUACAGCCAUCUGAUCUUCAACAAAGUUGACAAAAACAAGCAAUGGGGAAAGGUCUCCCUAUUCAAUAAAUGGUGCUGGGAUAACUGGCUGGCCAUAUGCAGAAGAUCGUAACUGGACCCCUUUUACUAUGUACAAAAAUUAAGAUGGUUUAAAGAGUUAAAACCCAAAAUUAUAAAAAUCCUGAAGAUAACUUAGGCAAUACCAUUCUGGACAUAGGAACUGGCAAAUAUUUCAUGAUGAAGACACCAAAAGCAAUUGUAACAAAAGCAAAAAUGGACAAAUUGGAUUUAAGAGCUUUUUCAUAGCAAAAUAAACAACAGGGCAGACAAUCUACCAAAUGACAGAAAAUUUUUGCAAACUAUGCAUCUGACAAGGGGCUAAUAUCUAGCAUCUAUAAGGAAUUUAAACACAGUUACAGGAAAAAAAAAACCCACUCCAUUAAAAAAUGGGCAAAGGACAUGAACAGACACUUUUCAAAAAAGACAUACAUACAGCCAACUAGCGUGUUAAAGAAAACCUCAAUUAUCACUGAUCAUUAGAGAAAUGCAAAAUCAAAACCAUGAUGAGAUAUCAUCUGCCAGUCAGGAUGGCUACAAAAAAGUAAAAAAAUAAUAGAUGUUGGUGAGGUUAUGGAGAAAAGGAACUUAUACACUUGUUAGGAGUGUAAAUUAGUUCAAUCACUGUGGACAGCAGUGUGGUGAUUCCUCAGAGAGCUAAAAACAACUACCAUUUGACUCACCAAUCCCAUUACUGGAUAUUUACCUAAAGGAAUAUAAAUCAUUCCACCAUAAAGACACAUGCAAGUGUAUGUUCAUUGCAGCACUAUUAACAGUAACAAAGCUGGGCACAGUGGCUCACCUCACGACUGUAAUCCCAGCACUUUGGGAGGCUGAGGUAGGCGGAUCACCUGAGGUCGGCAGUUUGAGACCAGCCUGACCAACAUGGAGAGACCCCAUCUCUACUAAAAAUACAAAAUUAGCCAGGUGUGGUGGCUCAUGCCUGUAAUCCCAGCUACUUGGGAGGCCAAGGCAGGAGAAUUGCUUGAACCCAGGAGGCAGAGGUUGCAGUGAGCCGAGAUCACACCAUUGCACUCUAGCCUGGUGAAGGAGCAAGACUCCAUCUCAAAAAAAAAAAAAAAAAAGAAAGAAAGAAAAAUACACAUUCAGAGGAGACAAAAAAUAAAAAACAAUGAUGCAUGCCCACAGGAUCUAGAAAAUAACUUCUUAAGGGCAAAUCUAGGAGUUAUUGGCCUUAAAGAAGAGAUAGAGAAAGAGAUAGGAAUAGAAAGUUUGUUGAAAGGGAUAAUAACAUAGAACUUCCUAAACCUACAGAAAGAUAUUUAUAUCCAAGUACAAGAAGGUUAUAGAACACCAGGCCAAUUUAACCCAAAGAUUACCUCAAGGCAUUUAAUAAUCAAACUCCCACAGGACAAGGGUAAAGAAAGGAUCCUAAAAGCAGCAAGAGAAAAGAAACAGAUAACAUACAAUGGAGCUCCAAUACAUCUGGCAGUAUAUUUUUCAGUGGAAACCUUACAAGCCAGGAGAGAGUGACAUGACAUAUGUUAAAGUGCUGAAGGGAAAAAACCUUUUACCCUAGAAUAGUAUAUCCAGCAAAAAUAUCCUUCAAACAUGAAGAAUAAACAAAGACUUCCCCAGACAAACAAAAGCUGAGGGAUUUCAUCAACACUAGACUGGUCCCAUAAGAAACGCUUAAGGGAGUACUUUGGUCAGAAAGAAACAGACAUUAAUGAGCAACAAAGAAUCAUCUAAAGGUAAAAAACUCACUGUUAAGAGUAAGUACACAGAAAAACCCAAAGUGUGAUAACAUUGUAACUGUGGUGUGUAAGUAGAAAGAAUAAAUGAUAAACCAAUCAAAAAUAGUAACUACAACUUUUCAAGACCAGUCAGAAAAAUAAGAUAAAAUUAGAAACAACAAAAAGUUAAAAAGUGGGGGGAUGAAGUUAAGAUGUAGAGUUUUUAUUAGUUUUUUGUUUGUUAAUGCAAACAGUGUUACCAGGUUAAAAUAAUGGGUUACAAAAUAGUAUUUGUAAUCCUUAUGGUAACCUCAAACCUAAAAACAUACACUGGAUACAUAAAAAAUAAAAAGCAAAAACCUAAAUCAUAUCACCAGAGCAAACUACCUUCCCUAAAGGAAGACAGGAAGAAAAGAAAGAAGAAGACCACAAAACAACCAGAAAACAAAUAAAUAACAAGGCAGGAGUAAGUCUUUACUUAUCGAUAAUACAUUGAAUGGAAAUAUGGACUAAACUCUCCAAUCAAAAGACAUAGACUGGCUGAAUGAAUGGAGAAAACAAGACCCAUUGAUCUGUUGCCUACAAGAAACACACUUAAACUAUAAAGACACACAUAGGCUGAAAGUAAAGAGUUGGAAAGAGUUAUUCCAUGCCAAUGGAAACCAGGAAAAAGAGAAGGAGUAUUGAUUUUGAUACAAAAACUAUGAGACAAAUAAAGUCACUAUACAAUGAUAAAGGGGUUAAUAUGGUUUCCAUUUGUGCCCCACCCAAAUUUCGUGUUCUAUUGUAAUCCUCAAUGUUGGAGGUGGGGCCUGGUGGGACGUGAUUAGAUCAUGGGGGUGGAUCUUUCAUGACUAAUUCAGCACCAUCUUCUUAGUGCUGUUCUCAUGAUAGUGAGUUCUUCUGAAAUCUGGUUGCUUAAAAGUGUGUAGCACCUCUCCACACCACCCGCUUGCCUUGGUCUACUCCUGCUAUGUAGAUGCUUGCUCCCACUUUGCAUUAUUCCAUGAGUAAAAGCUCCCUCAGGCCUUCCCAGAAUCAGAUGCCGCUAUGCUUCCUGAACAGCCUGUGGAACUAUGAGCCAAUUCAACCUCUUUUCUUCAUAAAUUAACAAGUCUUGGGUAUUUCUUUAUAGCAGUGUGAGAACAGAAUAAUACAGAAAAUUGGUAAAGAGGAGUGAGGCAUUGCUAGAAAGAUACCUGAAAAUGUGGAAACAGCAGUGGAACUGGGAAAUAGACAGAGGUUGGAAGAGUGUGGAGGGCUCCGAAGAUAGGAAGAUGAGGGGAAGUUUGGAAUUUCUUAGAGAUUUGUUAAAUUGUUUUGACCAAAAUACUGAUGGUGAUAUGGACAAUGAAGUCCAGGCUGAGGAGGUCUCAGAUGGAGAUGAGGGACUUAUUGGGACCUGGAGUGAAGGUCACUUUUGUUAGGACAUUGUGGUUGGAGACAUUGUGCCCCUGCCCUAGGAAUCUGUGGAACUUUGAACUUGAGAGCGAAGAUUUAGGGUAUCUGGCAGAAGAAAUUUCUAAGCAGCAAAGCGUUCAAGACGUGGCCUGGCUGCUUCUGGUAGUCUGUGCUCAUAUUUGUGAGCAAAGACAUGACAAGAAACUGGAACUUAUAUUUAAAAAGGAAGCAGAGUGUAAAAGUUUGGAGAAUUUGCAGCCUGGCCAUGUUGUAGAAAAGAAAAAAACCAUUUUCUGGAGAGGAAUUCAAGCUAGCUGCAGAAAAUUGCAAGUAACAAGGAGCAAAAUGUUGAUAGCCAAGAUAGUGGGAAAAACACCUUGAAGGCAUUUCAGAUACCUUGGGGGCAGCCUCUCCCAUCACAGGCCCAAAGGCCUAGGAGGGAAGGAUGGUUUCCUGGGCCAGGCUCAGGGUCCUGCUGCCCUGCACAACCUCAGGAAACUGCUCUCCAAAUCCCAGCUGCUCCAGCUCCAGCUUCAGCUCAAAGGGCCCCAGGUAUAGCUCAGGCUGCUGCUCCAUAGGAUGCAAGUUAUAAGCCUUAGUGGCUCCCGUGUGGUGUUAAAUUAAGCCUGUAGGUGCACAGAGUGCAAGAAUUGAGGCUUGGGAGCCUCCAACUAGAUUUCAGAGUAUGUGUGGGAAAGCCUGGAUGUCCAGGCAGAAGCCAGCUGCAGGGACAGAGCCCUCAUGGAGAACCUCUACUAGGGUAGUGUGGAGGGGAAAUUUGGGGUUGGAGUUCCCACACAGCUUCCCCUCUGGUGUACUGCCUAGUGGAGCUGUGAGAAGACAGCCACUGUCCUCCAGAUUCCAGGAUGAUAGAUCUGCCAAUGACAGCUUGCACUGUACAACUGGAAAAGCCACAGGCAGUCAAUGCCAGCCCGUGAAAGCAGUGACAGUGGCUUACCCUGCAAAGUCCCAGGGGCUGAGCUGCCCAAGGCCUUGGGAGCCCACCCCUUGCACCAGUGUGCCCUGGAUGUGAGAUAUGGAGUCAAAGGAGAGUAUUUUGGAGCUUUAAGAUUUAAUGACUACCUGCUGGGUUUCAGACUUGCAUGGGUCCAGUAGCCCCUUUCUUUUGGCCAAUUUCUCACUUUUGGAAUGGGAGUGUUUACCCAAUUCCUGUACCCCCACUGUAUGUUGGAAGUAACUAACUGUUUUUUUAUUUUGUAAGCUCACAGGUGGGAGAGACUUGCCUUGUCUCAGGUUGAGACUCUGGACUUUGGACUUUUGAAUUAAUGCUGGAAUGAGUUAAGACUUUGAGGGACUGUUGGGAAGAUAUAACUGUAUUUUGCAGUAUGAGAAGGACAUGAGAUUUGGGAGACACCAGAGGUGGAAUAAUAUGAUUUGGAUCUGCAUCCCCACCAAAAUCUCAUGUUCAAUUGUAAUCCUAAAUUUUGGAGGUUGAGCCUGGUGGAAGAGGAUUGGAUAAUGGGGGUGGUUUCUCAUGGUUUAACACCAUCCCCCUGGGUGCUGUUCUCAUGACAGUGAGUGAGUUAUUGUGAGAUCUGAUUGUUUAAAAGUGUGUGCCACCUCCUCCCACUUUCCUCCUGCUCCAGCCAUGUAAGACAGGCUUGCCUCCCCUUCACCUUUUGUCAUGAUUGUAAGUGUUCUGAGGCCUCCCCAGCCAUGCUUCCUGUACAGCCUGCAGAACUGUGAGCCAAUUAAACCUCUUUUCUCUAUAUAUUACCCAGUCUCGGGUAUUUCUUUAUAGCAGUGCAAGAAUAGACUAAUACAGGGUUCAAUUCAGCAAGAGGAUAUAACAAAUAUAAAUAUAUAUGCACUCAACACUGCAGCACCCAGAUAUAUAAAGCAAAUACGAUUAGAGCUAAAGAGAGAGAGUGACCCCAAUACAAUAAUAGCUGGAGACUUCAACACCACAUUUUCAGCACUGGACAGAUCUUCCAGACAGAAAAUAAAAAAGAAACAUCAGACUUAAUCUGCACUGUAGAUCAAAUGGAUCUAAUACAUACUUGCAGAACAUUUUAUCCAAUGGCUGCAGAAUACACAUUCUUUUUUAGCACAUGUAUCAUUCUCAAGGAUAGACCAUAUGUUAGGUCACAAGUCUUAAAACAUUAAAAAAGUUGAAUACCAUCAAGCAUCUUCUCUGACCACAGUGGAAUACAACUAGAAACUAAUAACAAGAGGAAUUUUUGAAACUACAAAUACAUGAAAAUUAAACAAUAUGCUCCUGAAUGACCAUUGAGUCAAUGAAGAAAUUAAGAAGGAAAUUGAACAAUUUCUUGAAACAAAUGAUAAAGGAAACACAACAUACCAAAACCUAUGGGAUACGGCAAAAGCAGUACUAAGAGGCAAAUUGAUAGCUAUAAGUGCCUACAUGAAAAAAGAGGAAAAACUUCAAAUAAGCAAUUUAACAAUGAACCUUAACCAGAAAAGCAAGAGCAAAACAAACACAAAAUUAGAAGAAAACAAAUAAUAAAAAUUAGAGCAUAAAUAAAUAAAAUUGAAAUAAAAAUCAAUGCAAAAGAACAAUGAAACAAAAAGUUGCUUUUUUUCAAAAGUUAAACAAAACUGACAAGCCUUUAGCAAGACUGAGAAAAAAGAGACAAGAUACAAAUCAGAAAUGAAAAAGACAUUACAACUGACACUGCAGAAAUUCAAAGGAUCAUUAGGGGCUACUAUGAGCAACUCUAUGCCAAUAAAUUGGAAAAUCUAGAAGAAAUUGACAAUUCCUAGACACAUACAACCUACUGAGACUGGACCAGGAAGAAAUCCAAAACCUGAACAGACUAAUAACAAGUAACAAGGUUGAAGCCAUAAUAAAAAGUCUCCCACUAAAGAAAACCAAGGACCCGAUGGCUUCACUGUUGAAUUCUACCAAACAUUUAAAGAAGAACUAAUACCAAUCCCACUCAAGCUAUUGAAAAAUAGAGGAGGAGAGAAUAUUUCCAAAGUCAUUCUAGGAGACCAGUAUCACCCUGAUACCAAAACCAGACAAAGACACAUCAAAAAAAGAAAACUGCUGGCCAAUUUCUCUGAUGAAUAUUGAUGCCAGAAUCCUCAGCAAAAUAUUAGCAAACUAAAUUCAACAAUACAUUAAAAAGAUCAUUCAUCAGGGUCGGGUGCAGUGGCUUAAGCCUCUAAUCCCAGCACUUUGGGAGGCCGAGGUGGGCAGAUCACCUGAGGUCAGGAGUUCAAGACCAGCCUGACCAACAUGGUGAAACCUCGUCUCUACUGAAAAUACAAAAUUAGCCGAGUGUGGUGGUGCAUGCCUGUAAUCCCAGCUACUCAGGAGACUGAGGCAGGAGAAUCACUUGAACCCAGGAGGUGGAGGUUGCAGUGAGCUGAGAUUGUGGCACUGCACUCCAGCCUUGGUGACAGAGUGAGACUCCAUUAAAAAAAAAAUCAUUUAUCAUGACCAAGUGGGAUUUAUCCCUGGAAUGCAAGGAUGGUUCAACACAUGCAAAUCAAUCAAUGUAAUACAUCAUAUCAAAAAGAAUGAUUAAAACCAUAUGAUUAUUUCUAUUGAUGCUGAAAAAGUAGUUUAUAAAAUCCAACAUCCCUUCAUGAUAAAAACCCUCAAAAAACUGUAUAAAAGAAAUAUACCUCAACGUAAUAGCCAGAUAUGACAGACCCACAGCUAGUAUCAUACUGAAUGGGGAAAAAGUGAAAGACUUUCCUAUAAGAUCUGGAACACAACAGGGAUGUUCACUGUCACCACUGUUAUUCAACAAAGUACUGGAUGUUCUAGCUAGAGCGAUCAGACAAGAGAAGAUAUAAAGGCCAUCCAAACUGGAAAGGGAGAAGUUAAAUUACCCUAGUUUGCAGAUGAUAUGAACUUAUAUUUGGAAAAAACCUAAAGGCUCCACAGGAAAACUAUUAGAAUCAAUAAAUUCAGUAAAGUUGCAGGACACAAAAUCAACAUAUAAAAACCAGUAGCAUUUCUAUAUGUCAACAGUGAACAAUUUGAAAAAUUUUAAAUUUAAGAAGGUAAUUUCAUUUACAAUAGCCACACAUAAAAUUAAAUACCUAGGAAUUAACCAAAAAUGUGCAAGAUAUCUAUGAGGAGAAUUAUAAAACAUUGAUGAAAGAAAUUGAAGAGGACACAAAAAAAAUGGAAAAAAUUCCAUCUUUAUGGAUUGGAAGAAUCAAUAUUGUUAAAAUGUCCAUACUACCCAAAGCAAUCUACAGAUUUAAUGCAAUCCCUAUCAAAAUACCAAUAAUAGUCUUCAGAGAAAUAGAAAAAAAAAUCCCAAAAUUUAUAUGAAAACACAGAAUGCCCAGAAUAGCCAAAAUUAUAUUAAGCAAAAAGAUCAAAACUGGAGGAAUCACAUUACCUGACUUCAAAUUAUGCUACAGAGCUAUAAUCACCAAAACAGCAUGGUACUGACAUAAAAACAGACACAUAGUCCAACAGAACAGAAUAGAGAACCUAGAAACAAAUCCACACACUCACAGGGAACUCAUUUUUGACAGAGUUGCCAAGUACUUAUACUGGAGAAAAGAAAAGACAGUCUCUUCAAUGAAAUGGUGCUGGGAAAACUGGAUAUCCAUAUGCAGAAGAAUGAAACUAGACCCCUACCUCUCACUGUAGACAAAAGUCAAAUCAAGGCUAGGCAUGGUGGCUUACACCUGUAAUCUCAGCACUUUGGGAGGCUGAGGCAGGCGUAUCACGAGGUGAAGAGAUUGAGACCAUCCUGACCAACAUGGUGAAACUCACCCCCCCCCACCCACUAAAAAUACAAAAAUUAGCUGGGCGUGAUGGCAUGUGCCUGCAGUCCUAGCUACUCAGGAGGCUGGGGCAGGAGAAUCGCUUGAACCCAGGAGGUGGAGGUUGCAGUGAGCUGAGAUUGUGCCACUGCACUCCAGCCUGGCGACAGAGCAAGACUCCAUCUCAAAAAAUAAAAAAUAAAUUCAAAAUGUAAUAAAGACUUAAAUCUAAGACCUCAAACAUGAAACUACUAUAAGAAAACAUUGGGGAAAACCUCCAGGACAGUAGUCUGGCCAAAAAUUUCUUGAGCAAUACCCCACAAGCACAGGCAACCAAAAUAAAACUGGACAAAUAGUAUCACAUCAAGUUUAAAAGCUUCUACAAAGCAAAGGAUACAAUCAAUAAAGAGACAACCCACAGAAUGGGAGAAAAUAUUUGCAAACUACCCAUCUGACAAAGAAAUAAUAACCAGAGUAUAUAAGAAGCUCAAACAACUCUAUAGUAAAAAAAAAAAAAAAAAAAAUUCUAAAAGUCUAAGUAAAAAAAUGGGCAAAAGAUUUGAAUAGACAUUUCUCAAAAGAAGACAUACAGGCCAUGCGUGGUGGCUCAUGCCUGUAAUCCCAGCACUUUGGGAGGCCCAGGCGGGUGGAUCACUUGAGGUCAGGAGUUCGAGACCAGCCUGACCAACAUUGUGAAACUCCGUCUCUACUAAAAAUACAAAAAUAAGCCAGGCAUGGUGGCGCACACCUGUAAUCCCAGCUACUCAGGAGGCUGAGGCAGGAGAAUCGCUUAAACCUGGGAGACAGAGGUUGCAGUAAGCCGAGAUCACACCACUGCACUCCAGCCUGGGCAACAAAGUGAGACUCCGUCUCACAAAAAAAAAAAAAAAAAAAAAAAAAAAAGAAAAGAAAAAGGAAGAAGACAUACAAAGCCAGGUACAGUGGCUUAUGCCUCUAAUCCUAGCACUUUAGGAGGCCAAGGCAGAUGGAAUUGAGCCCAGAAGUUUGAGACCAGACUGAGCAAUAUGGUCAAACCCCAAUUCUGCAAAAUACAAAAAUAAAAAAUAGCUGGGAGUGGUGGUGCACACCUGUAGUCCCAGCUACUUAGGAAGCUGAGAUGGGAGGAUCACUUGAGCCUGCAGUGAAUCAUAAUUGCACCAAUGCACUCCAGCCUGGGCGACAGAGUGAGAGACAUUGUCUCAAAAAAAAGAAAAAGAAAAAAAAGAAAGGACAUAAAAAUGACAAACAGGCAUAUGAAAAGGUGCUGAUGAUUAUUGAUCCUCAGAGAAAUGCAAAUCAAAACUGCAAUGAGAUAUAAUCUCACCCCAGUUAAAAUGGCUUAUAUCCAAAAGACAGGCAAUAACAAAUGCUGGUGAGGAUGUGGAUAAAAGGGAACCCUCGUACACUGUUGAUGGGAAUGUAAAUUAGUACAACCACUAUGGAUAACAGUUUAGAGGUUCCUCAGAAAACUAAAAAUUGAGUUGCGAUAUGAUGCAACAAUCCUACUGCUGGGUAUAUACCCCACAAAAGACAAAACCAGCGUUUUGCAUGGUGGCUCACACCUGUAAUCCCAGCACUAUGGGAGGCCGAGGAGGGCAGAUCACUUGAGCCCAGAAGUUCAAGACCAGCCCGAGCAACAUGGCAAAACCUGAUUUCUACAAAAUACAAAAAAAAAAUUAGGCAGUUGUAGUGGUUCACACCUAUAGUCCUAGCUACUGUGGAGGCUGAGGUAGGAUCACUUGAACCUAGGAGGUGGAGGUUGCAGUGAGCCAAGAUCAUGCCACUGCACUCCAGCCUGGGUGACAAAGUGUGACCCUGUCUCAAAAAAGAAAAUCAGUAUAUGGAAGAGGUAUCUGCACUCCUAUGUUUUUUACAACACUGUUUACAAUAGCUAAGAUUUGGAAGCAACCUAAAUGUCUAACAGCAGAUGAAUGGAUAAGGAAAAUUUGGUAUGUAUACACAAUGAAGUACUAUUCAGCCAUAAAAAGGAAUGAGAUCCAGUCAUUUGCAACAGCAUGGAUGGAAGUGGAGAUCAUUAUGUUAAAUGAAAUAAGCCAGGCACAGAAAGGCAAACAUGGCAUGUUCUCACUUAUUUGUGGGACCUAAAUUCAAAACAAUUGAACUAAUGGACAUAAAGAGUAGAAGAAUGGUUACCAGAGGCUAGGAAUGGUAGUGGGGGGCUGAAGGGAAGGUGGGGAUGUUUAAUCGGUAAAAAAAAAUUUAGAAGAAUAAGACCUACUAUUUGAUAGCACAAUAGGGGGACUAUAGUCAAUAAUGCACAUUUAAAAAUAGUGUAAUUGAAUGGUUUGUAACUCAAAGGAUAAAUGCUUGAGGGAAUGGAUACCCCAUUCUCCAUGAUGUGCUUAUUUCACAUUGCAUACCUGUAUCAAAACAUCUCAUGUACCCCAUAAAUAUAUGCAGCUAUUAUGUACCCAC